GUCUACAAGAAAGAUUCCCGUUAAUCAUCAGCACUCUUUAGUGUAACUGGGUUGACAAAUUGUGCUACGUAAGACCCCGAAAGAGGAAAGAAACAGUUCCAAAUCUACAUCAGUAAUACGGAUGUAAGCCACGGAUAUAAACACCCAUUUGACACCAUGGAAGACUAAAACCAUGGAUAAAGAAUCCGUAGAUACAGAGGGUUGACUGCCAUCUUAAGGAAUAACUCACAAAUGAACCUCACUGACAUACUCUUGCUGACUCAUGAAAAAACAGCACAUAUGUUAGACAGUGAUUGACCCAUAGACUGAUCACAAUACUUACCAGACGAAGCCAUGGCUAAGUCGGAUUUCAGAAGAAUGUGCUGCAGCUACUCCAGCAACUGAACCCUAGGAAAACAGAAACACUAUAUAUCACUGCGCUAUAUUUUGAUGAGAAUUAGAAAAUGCUUUUAAGAGUACACAGAUCCUGACUUCAGUUUUCCUCUAACUGCCCUAAUCCUUUGUUUUUUCAGGGUUAAAGCAGCACAUGAAGCAAUAGCUAUUGCAGGAUGGGAGCAUUUACCUUAUGUAAAUCUAUGAUACUCAAGAGCAGAUAUACCAGGACUUCGGGACAUUAAUCCUCAUGUUUUAUUACCCAUUUAGACUAUAAACCCAUGUCGCUGUGAUGACACAAAAUGGCAUUUUGUUUUGUACUGGAUUCAAGCUAAGCAUAUCUUUUCAAACAGCUUCCUCUUUGUCCGCUACACAUAUUUCUCAAGCAGAAAACAAAUACUGGCAAUGUAUGAGUAGUUGCUAAUAAAAAACCUUUUUUUUGUUCCAAGUAGAUGAUAAAUAGAGCUGGAAAAAGCCCAAGCAGAGGUUGCUUGGGCACCUAACCAUCAAACAAUGGAUUAUUGGGGGUUUUAUCCUUUUCCCCUGCUCAAUAGGAGCAGCAUGUACUAAAAAUAAGAUGCUGGUGCUCAAACACUGGGAGUAUAUUCCCAGCCAUGAAUGCUUAAGCCACUGGGCAGAUGUUCUCCAUCUGUCCCUUCCUUGUUGUUGAUUAAGAAGGAACAGAGCAUGUGCAUAUGCUAUUUGAUUCCUUAAAGCCCUCCCUCGGAACAGAAGAUCAGCCACUUCAUUUCAUCAACCUGAUCAGAGGCGGGCAAAGCCAUUGUUCUUGCUGCCUUUGUGCCUGGGAGGAGGCUUAAGGCACAAAAGGAUGCCCUGGAAGGACAGCCGUUUACGGUUAAUGCAUUAUAUAAUGGCUGGAGGACGUAAAUGGGACUAAGUAUUAACUGGACUUUUGCUUUUAACCAGACAAGUGGCUGGGAUGUUUUAACUGGUUUAUAUAACAUCUCCACUGUUUUAUUUUUAUAUUAUUUUGUGUUGCUUCUUUUGUUAAUUUAUGUUAAUUUUGUUGUUUAUCUUAAUUAUUGCUUAUGGUUGGCACCAUUAUGAUGCUGCAACCCUCAGGGAGAUGAGGUGGGAUACAAAUAGUUUUUUUAUUAUUACUAUAUUAUUUUACCUGGGCAUUGAAAAAAGGCAAGGCACCUUCAGAACAAACAAAAAAACACAUCUAACAGGCUUUGGAUUUGCUUUGUUAAGGCAGAACAUAGAAUUAAAAGCAUUAAUACUAUAUAUUACAUGUAAUAUUACUAAUAAUAUUGCAGUACAGGGAUUUGGAGGGUUGGUUAUUUCUGUCUUUGUUCAGCUUGUCACGGCACUGAAUGUUUUCCCAAUAUCUGUUGUAAACCACAGAGUCCCCUUGGGGAGAUAGGGUGGGGUAGAAAUAAAGUGUUAUUAUUAUUACUAAUAUUAAAUAUUACUACUUAUAAUAAUAUAUUAUAUACUGUUCUAUUGUUGCAUAUGUGCAGUUGUCAUGUUUUUGAUCGUGAGAUGCUUUGAGGCCCCUCCCACACAGCUGAAUAAAAUCCCACAUUUUCUGCUUUGAACACAGCCCUAUGGUGAGAUAAAGCAGGAUAUAUUUAUUUAUUACUAACUACCUUUAUAUCCCAUCCUUCUCACCCCGAAGGGGACUCAGUGCGGCUUACAAAUUUUAAGUGUAUAAAAUAUAUUUUAUUAUUAGCAUGGCACAAUAUUAGGAUUACAUGUAUUAUACCACUAUACUGUAAUCUAAGUAGUAAUAUUCCAUGUAAUAUAUAUAUUAAAUUGUAGCAUUAUCAGUAUUUAUAUAUAUAUAAAAAUAAGGAAAAUAUUUAAAAUAUAUUUACUAUUGAAAAAAUAUAUUUAAUAUAAUAUGUUGUUUCAUUAUACAGUAGUCUCACUUAUCCAACAUAAACAGGCCGGCAGAACGUUGGAUAAACGAGUAUGUUGGAUAAUAAGGAGAGAUUAAGAAAAAGCCUAUUAAACCUCAAAAUAGGUUAUGAUUUUACAAAGUAAACACCAAAACAUCAUGUUGUACAACAAAUUUGACAGAAAAAGUAGUUCAAUACGUAGUAAUGUUAUGCUGUAAUUACUGUAUUUACCAAAAUAUCACAAUGUAUUGAAAACAUUUAUAAAAAUGGUUUGGAUAAUUCA